GGUGGGUGUGGCUUGAAGAAUCACGUGUGAAGUUCUGCAAGAGGUUUCCUGGAACCUCCAUGUGUAAGGCAAGAGGAAAAAUCUUCAACAAAUCAGGGGCUCUCGGCGGCCAGUGAGGCCCGAACUCAGCAUGGGAAGGGACUUUCUCCGAGUGUGUGUCAUGGAGUACUUCCAACCUGCAGGACAGAAGGGCUUCUGAGGUUGGCCACAGGAGGACAAGAAGACAGACAGUG
rnacentral:lncRNA from 1 species